rnacentral:rRNA from 1 species
GUGGGGAAUAUUGGACAAUGGGCGCAAGCCUGAUCCAGCCAUGCCGCGUGAGUGAUGAAGGCCUUAGGGUUGUAAAGCUCUUUCAGUGGGGACGAUAAUGACGGUACCCACAGAAGAAGCCCCGGCUAACUUCGUGCCAGCAGCCGCGGUAAUACGAAGGGGGCUAGCGUUGUUCGGAAUUACUGGGCGUAAAGCGCACGUAGGCGGGUAUUUAAGUCAGGGGUGAAAUCCCGGAGCUCAACUCCGGAACUGCCUUUGAUACUGGGUACCUAGAGUAUGGAAGAGGUAAGUGGAAUUCCGAGUGUAGAGGUGAAAUUCGUAGAUAUUCGGAGGAACACCAGUGGCGAAGGCGGCUUACUGGUCCAUUACUGACGCUGAGGUGCGAAAGCGUGGGGAGCAAACAGGAUUAGAAACCCGUGUAGUCC